GACGUAGUUGACUUUAUACGCUAUAUAAAGGAUGAUAUUUUCCCCUGUAUAACCAAUCUUUCAUGCAAUACACCAAGCGAUAACUGAAUAUGAGAUUCCUGUUUUUGCUCGCUGUUAUUUUCUUGGUUGCCAACGUAAUUGAAGUCGAUGGUCAAAAUGGUCCUAAUCCCCAGAAUGAUGACAACGGGGAUGACAUUUAUGGAGAUAGCGAGGGCGCUAGAGCACUAGGAGAGGGUGGAAAAGUAUGGGUCAGUACGGGGAGGCAUCCAUAAUCGUGGUUCGUUUGGAUGACAAAGGAAGACAGCAAUUUUUCAACUGUACUUUUGUGCUCAAUCAAUAAAACGUGAAAAAAAUAA